GGUAGUCGAACCCCCAACCCAACCUCUUAAUGCUGAGUGUCAAGCAGGGAGCCUUUGGUGUGACGUCUAGCCACGAGUCCAUGAAAGGUCUUGGAAUCAACCCCUUAACUUUAAAAUCCCACUCUGAUGGAUUUUUGGUUUGUUUUCAAAGUGGUCUUCUAAUUAAGAUUAUUUUCAGUUCUCUAGAACAUAAUUGAUAUAAUAAAUUCUUGUGGUGCGGAGAAAGCUUGCACUCAUUUCCCAUAAUCCCUUUCUUUACACUCUUCUGCUAGCCUACAGCCCCAACCCAACAUUAGCGGUGCAACAAAAACGGCGAGCAACAUUGGAGCGUCCAGCCAUACGGUUUAGAUCCAGAUUCCCGAAAAUGUGCUUGUCUGCAAGUGUUUUCAUCGGAAUGGAGCCGGUUAAAGUUUGUAUGCAACAACCACAAUUUAUCAACGGCAUUUUUUCAUCUGCUCCUGAUUUCCAGCGAUUUGAACAAAGAAAUAAUAAGCUUAAUUUUCUGUAUAUAUUUCCAUCAUCAGAAAAAUGCUUUAAAGACACAAUUUUCUUUGGAGAUGGUCUGUGUAAAUUGUACCUCUGGUGGCUUGAAGCAUUUUUUUAAAAAUAUCUUAACCAGAUAAACUAAACCAAACCAAACAGAACUGUUCAUCUGUUUUAAAAAUCAACUAUUUUGAUUUGAUUUGUAAGAUUCUCUGCACUUGAAGCUGGAAUCUAACUUGGAAACUUUCACUCCUUUCUUUUCAUCUGGAUUCAAACUCAACAUCUAAACAGGAAAAGGUUUGGAUUUGUCAAACUGCCCUGAGGAAACAUCAGGAACCGAAACUGAAGUUGCCUUAUAUUUCUGCAGACUGAUCACAUCAAAUGAUCUUAAAACCUUUUUUUCCCCCAGUUUAGAUCCCAUUUGAUCCGUGAUUUAUGGUGAUCCAGGUCACCCCCCCCCCCCCCCCACACACACACACACACACCCCACACACACACACACAAAAUGAAGCCUUUUUGCUCUGAUUUCAAGCAGCUUUUGGUCAGACUGGAGCCCAGGAUGCUCCUCCAGAAUGACAGGAACUUCAGCUUGUUUUGAAGAGAUGUCGCAGGUUUGGAAAGGAAACCGUCUCUGCAGCGAUCAGAAGCUGAAUUAACCCCACAUGUGGAGUGAACUCGCGCCUGCGGCUGAAACUCGGGGGAAAGGUCGGUCCAGGGAUCCGCUGGGGUCCAAUCCCUUCAACCCAAAGGUUCCCGAAGCCUCCUCGGAACCAGAACACACGGCAUCACUGAUCUAAACAUUGGUGUGCAGAUGCUGAGCCUCACCACACUGCGGUUUCCGCUCGUAUCCCUCAGAGCCAGUCGGAACUCUCCGGCUCGGCUCGGGUCCAUGCUGAGCUGCAGGCGCAGAGCCUCGCUUCCCGCUCCGGGGAGGCACAAGGGUCGGAUCCCGGAAUGGGACACCGAAACGCGGACCGACAUGAGAACCGUGGUGCAGCAGGCGGUCAGCGGAGGCCCGCUGCACACAGGAGCCUUCUGGGAGGACGAGGCAGAGAUUGGGGCUGGAGGCGCCCAGCCGCCCGAACUAAGAGCCAUGGCGCAGACAGCCGAACGGGCUUGGGUGGUUCUGGAUUCCUCGGACGUUUGGGUCUAUGACGUCUGCCGGUCCUCAAAGGCAGAACAUUUGUUUAAGGGAAGGUUGUGUCCUCGCCCCGCUAGUUCGUCCAUGUCCGCAUAAGCGGAGCUGCACCGGAAAAACACAACAGGACGGGUCCGUCUCUUAUUUAGCUCCGGGUAGAAACUGUCGACACAACCAUCCUCACUGAGAUGUCAACAGCAAUAAUAUGCUAAAAUAAAAAGAGUAACAAGAAGAGAAAAAAAAUAAUUUUAA